rnacentral:lncRNA from 1 species
CACCGCGCCGCGCAGGCGGGGCCCAGCCGGGCCCUGCCCGGGGCCGCUCCCGCCGCAGCAGCCCCAGGCCCGCUGCCGCCGCCGCCGCCGCCCCCCGGCCGGGACUCACCGCCUGCCCCGGGGAGAGCCAUGCUGCGCCGGGGCGGCUCCGCCACCAGCCGGCGGCGAGGAGGGGACGGCGAAGGGAGGAGCGGCUCCCGCCAGCCGCCGCCGCUUCCCUCUGCCGCAUUCGCCCGCCCGCUACCGCAGCGCCGCCACGGGGCCCCGGGGGGCGCCGCCCGCCCCCGACCGCCCUGCCCUGCCCUGCCCUGCCCUGCCCCACCCCGGGCGGCCCCUCAGCACGGAGCCGUUAACGGCCUCGCAGGGCGGGGCGGGGGCGCCGUGUCCGUGUCCGUACCUCUGUGAGGAGCCGCCCGCUCGGCGGCUUCGGGCUGCACCUGCGGCUCCCGGGAGGGGCCGGCUGGGGUCUGCCCGCGGGCUGCUGCCUCAGGGGGAGCCGCUGCCCCGCGUCGCGGCUGGGCGCUUCCCCACGGAGGCUCCGGGACGGCUGCGGCGCCGUCACAUGGCUCGGGGCGGGCCGCCUCAGCUCAGCCCGGCCCGCCUCGCCUCGCCUCGCCUCCGGGCGCCCCGUGAGGGCCGCGGUCCCGAGCGCUUCCCUCAAGCCGCUGCCUCCCAAAGCGCUCGGGCGCGGAAAGCUCCGCUUCGGCAGCAGGACGCCGCGGGGCCGGGGCGAAGAUGCUGCUGGAGGAUAAGUGGCUGCCAGGGCAUCCCUAUCAGGGGUAGCUGCGGCGAUGCUCGUUCCUCCGUGGAGGCACGGUUCAGGUGCCAGUGUAGCAUGAAAAUCAACUUGAAAAUAAAUGUACUGAGUACGGAGCCCAAGGCACAUAACUGAAGGUCAAAGCAAGCAUGACUCAGCAGGAGUGAAGACCGUAGCAUGUUAAAUAAUUUGACCCCAAUGUGAGAGAUUCUAGGCCCUGGAGCUGAACAUUUUAGAAACAUUUAAGAUAAGUUUAGGUUACAACAUAUGGGGUCGAAUCUGAAGGCAUUUAAAGACAAAAGUAUCUUUCCGGUGCAGAGAAGCACUGGGAAUGAAGCAAUUGGAGAAAAGGCCCUUAGAGUAAGAUGACAAACGGGGUAAAGGUAACUCCCAACGCAUGUCAGGCAUCAGGUAGCUCUGUGUUCUGCCAACUUGGUCAAGGAAGAAAUGUUCCAUUGAUAAACUUCAGGGUCUUCAGAGAUUCUUUUGCCUCACACAGCUGGUGUAAAAAAAAAAAAAAGGAAAUAAAAUGA